rnacentral:rRNA from 1 species
GACGAACGCUGGCGGCGUGCCUAAUACAUGCAAGUCGAACGAGAGCGGCCGGUGCUUGCACUGGUCAAUCUAGUGGCGAACGGGUGAGUAACACGUGGGUAACCUGCCCAUCAGAGGGGGAUAACAUUCGGAAACGGAUGCUAAAACCGCAUAGGUCUUCGAACCGCAUGGUUUGAAGAGGAAAAGAGGCGCAAGCUUCUGCUGAUGGAUGGACCCGCGGUGCAUUAGCUAGUUGGUGAGGUAACGGCUCACCAAGGCCGUGAUGCAUAGCCGACCUGAGAGGGUGAUCGGCCACAUUGGGACUGAGACACGGCCCAAACUCCUACGGGAGGCAGCAGUAGGGAAUCUUCCGCAAUGGACGCAAGUCUGACGGUGCAACGCCGCGUGAGUGAAGAAGGUGUUCGGAUCGUAAAACUCUGUUGUUAGAGAAGAAUAAGUGCUAGAGUAACUGUUAGCGCCUUGACGGUAUCUAACCAGAAAGCCACGGCUAACUACGUG